rnacentral:tRNA from 1 species
UAAUCCACUAGCCUUAGGAGCUAAAAAAUUGGUGCAACUCCAAAUAAAAGUA